CCCUUAGAUGUUCUGGGCCGCACACGCGCUACACUGAAGGAGGCAGCGUGUACUCCUGGAUCGAAAGAUUUGGGUAACCCGCGAAUCUCCUUCGUGCUAGGGAUUGAGGUUUGCAAUUAUCCUUCAUGAACGAGGAAUUCCCAGUAAGUGCAAGUCAUAAGCUUGCGCUGACUACGUCCCUGCCCUUUGUACACACCGUCCGUCGCUACUACCGAUUGAAUGAUUUAGUGAGGACUUCGGACUGGGACCGAUGCGGCUUUCGGGCUGCGUCGGUAUUCUGGAAAGAUGUCCAAACUGUAUCAUUUAGAGGAAGUAAAANUCGUANCA
rnacentral:rRNA from 1 species